rnacentral:rRNA from 1 species
UCCUGGCUCAGGAUGAACGCUAGCUACAGGCUUAACACAUGCAAGUCGAGGGGCAGCAUGAAGGAAGCUUGCUCCUUUGAUGGCGACCGGCGCACGGGUGAGUAACGCGUAUCCAACCUUCCUUAAACUUGGGAAUAGCCCGGUGAAAACCGGAUUAAUGCCCGAUGUGGUCCAGCGAGGGCAUCUGACCCGGACCAAAGAUUUUGUCGGUUAAGGAUGGGGAUGCGUCUGAUUAGCUUGUUGGCGGGGUAACGGCCCACCAAGGCUACGAUCAGUAGGGGUUCUGAGAGGAAGGUCCCCCACAUUGGAACUGAGACACGGUCCAAACUCCUACGGGAGGCAGCAGUGAGGAAUAUUGGUCAAUGGGCGAGAGCCUGAACCAGCCAAGUAGCGUGGAGGAUGACGGCCCUACGGGUUGUAAACUCCUUUUAUCAGGGGAUAAAGUGCACUACGCGUAGUGCUUUGCAGGUACCUGAUGAAUAAGGACCGGCUAAUUCCGUGCC